AUAUGGUAGGAGAGCGUUCUGUAAGCCUGCGAAGGUGUCUUGUAAAGGAUGCUGGAGGUAUCAGAAGUGCGAAUGCUGACAUGAGUAGCGAUAAUGGGGGUGAAAAGCCUCCACGCCGUAAGCCCAAGGUUUCCUGUUCAACGUUCAUCGGAGCAGGGUGAGUCGGCCCCUAAGGCGAGGCAGAGAUGCGUAGCUGAUGGGAAGCAGGUUAAUAUUCCUGCACCGUCGUAUGAUGCGAUGGGGGGACGGAUCGCGGAAGGUUGUCU
rnacentral:rRNA from 3 species